CAACCUCAACUCAUAUGGGACUACCCCCUGAAUUUAAGCAUAUUAAUUAGGGGAGGAAAAGAAACUAACAAGGAUUUUCUUAGUAGCGGCGAGCGAAAAGAAAUCAGUUCAGCACUAAGUCACUUUGUCUAUAUGGCAAAUGUGAGAUGCAGUGUACGGAACAUCAACAUUCUAGUAUGAGAAGUUAACGAUUUAAGUCCUUCUUAAAUGAGGCCAUUUACCCAUAGAGGGUGCCAGGCCCGUAUAACGUUAAUGAUUACUAGAUGGUGUUUCCAAAGAGUCGUGUUGCUUGAUAGUGCAGCACUAAGUGGGUGGUAAACUCCAUCUAAAACUAAAUAUAACCAUGAGACCGAUAGUAAACAAGUACCGUGAGGGAAAGUUGAAAAGAACUCUGAAUAGAGAGUUAAAUAGUACGUGAAACUGCUUAGAGGUUAAGCCCGAUGAACCUGAAUAUCCGUUAUGGAAAAUUCAUCAUUAGAAUUGUAAUAUUUUAAACAAUAUUAUAAUAAUAGUGUGCAUUUUUUCCAUAUAAGGACAUUGUAAUCUAUUAGCAUAAAUAUUUAUCAUAAAAUUAUGUCUGAUUGCUUAUUUGAAUUAUAUGCUUGGCAUUUUAACAUAAAAUAAAAGAUAUAAAUUUGAUAAAGUGCUGAUAGAUUUAUAUGAUUACAGUGCGUUAAUUUUUCGGAAUUAUAUAAUGGCAUAAUUAUCAUUGAUAUUUGUGUUUAUUAUAUGCAUUUGUAUGAUUAACAAUGCGAAAGAUUCAGGAUACCUUCGGG
rfam:Drosophila virilis strain TSC#15010-1051.87 Ctg01_1335, whole genome shotgun sequence.